AGCUUUACGAAUCCGUGCUGAGAUUUCGUCAGACACCAACCCAUUAUGGCUGAUCUGACUUCCAAGAUAAGUGAAGUU
rfam:Schistosoma mattheei strain Denwood, Zambia genome assembly, scaffold: SMTD_scaffold0013573